AACGCGAAGAACCUUACCAAGGUUUGACAUGGACCGAAAACUCAUGGAGACAUGGGGUCCUUCGGGGCGGUUCACAGGUGGUGCAUGGCUGUCGUCAGCUCGUGUCGUGAGAUGUUGGGUUAAGUCCCGCAACGAGCGCAACCCUCGUCCAAUGUUGCCAGCGGGUUAUGCCGGGGACUCAUUGGAGACUGCCGGGGUCAACUCGGAGGAAGGUGGGGAUGACGUCAAGUCCUCAUGCCCCUUAUGUCUUGGGCUGCAAACAUGCUACAAUGGCCAGUACAAAGGGUUGCGAGACCGCAAGGUGGAGCGAAUCCCAAAAAGCUGGUCUCAGUUCGGAUUGGGGUCUGCAACUCGACCCCAUGAAGUCGGAGUCGCUAGUAAUCGCAGAUCAGCAACGCUGCGGUGAAUACGUUCCCGGGCCUUGUACACACCGCUAGUC
rnacentral:rRNA from 1 species